UACGUAGGGGACGAGCGUUGUCCGGAAUCAUUGGGCGUAAAGCGCGCGUAGGCGGGUUUCCAAGUCGGUUGUGAAAUCCCUCAGCUCAACUGAGGAACUGCAUCCGAUACUGUUUGUCUUGAGGACGGGAGGGGAGAGUGGAACUUCUGGUGAAGCGGUGAAAUGCGUAGAUAUCAGAAGGAACGCCGGUGGCGAAAGCGACUCUCUGGCCCGUAUCUGACGCUGAGGCGCGAAAGCUUGGGUAGCAAACGGG
rnacentral:rRNA from 1 species